UUCCUGGUGGCCUAGUGGUUAAGGAUCUGGCAUUGUCACUGCUAUGGCAUGGGUUUGAUCCCUGGCCAGGAAA
rnacentral:tRNA from 1 species